rnacentral:lncRNA from 1 species
GGACGUUAUUCGUAAGCGGACUGCCCAUGGAUGCCAAACCCCGAGAAUUAUAUUUACUGUUCAGGGCAUAUGAGGGCUACGAAGGAUCGCUAUUAAAAGUUACGAGUAAAAAUGGAAAGACUGCUUCGCCUGUCGGUUUCGUCACAUUCAACACAAGAGCAGAGGCCGAGGCGGCCAAGCAAGAUCU